rnacentral:rRNA from 1 species
GAUGAACGCUGGCGGCGUGCUUAACACAUGCAAGUCGAACGAUGAAGCCGGAGCUUGCUCUGGUGGAUUAGUGGCGAACGGGUGAGUAACACGUGAGUAACCUGCCCUUGACUCUGGGAUAAGCGCUGGAAACGGCGUCUAAUACCGGAUACGAGCUUCCACCGCAUGGUGAGUUGCUGGAAAGAAUUUCGGUCAAGGAUGGGCUCGCGGCCUAUCAGCUUGUUGGUGAGGUAACGGCUCACCAAGGCGACGACGGGUAGCCGGCCUGAGAGGGUGACCGGCCACACUGGGACUGAGACACGGCCCAGACUCCUACGGGAGGCAGCAGUGGGGAAUAUUGCACAAUGGGCGCAAGCCUGAUGCAGCAACGCCGCGUGAGGGACGAAGGCCUUCGGGUCGUAAACCUCUUUUAGCAGGGAAGAAGCGAAAGUGGCGGUACCUGCAGAAAAAGCACCGGCUAACUACGUGCCAGCCGCCGCCGUAA